AGAGUUUGAUCCUGGCUCAGGACGAACGCUGGCGGCGUGCUUAACACAUGCAAGUCGAACGGAAAGGCCCCCACCUUGGUGGGGGUGCUCGAGUGGCGAACGGGUGAGUAACACGUGGGUGAUCUGCCCUGUACUUCGGGAUAAGCUUGGGAAACUGGGUCUAAUACCGGAUAGGACCAUGGUUUAGCAUCUCAUGGUGGAAAGAUUAUUGUUUUGGUGCAGGAUGAGCUCGCGGCCUAUCAGCUUGUUGGUGGGGUAAUGGCCUACCAAGGCGUCGACGGGUAGCCGGCCUGAGAGGGUGGACGGCCACAUUGGGACUGAGAUACGGCCCAGACUCCUACGGGAGGCAGCAGUGGGGAAUAUUGCACAAUGGGCGCAAGCCUGAUGCAGCGACGCCGCGUGGGGGAUGACGGCCUUCGGGUUGUAAACUCCUUUCGUUAGGGACGAAGCCACAUUUUUUUGGGUGUGGUGACGGUACCUUUGUUAAGAAGCACCGGCUAACUACGUGCCAGCAGCCGCGGUAAUACGUAGGGUGCGAGCGUUGUCCGGAAUUACUGGGCGUAAAGAGCUCGUAGGUGGUUUGUUGCGUCGUCUGUGAAAUUCCGGGGCUUAACUUCGGGGUGGCAGGCGAUACGGGCAUAACUAGAGUGCUGUAGGGGAGACUGGAAUUCCUGGUGUAGCGGUGGAAUGCGCAGAUAUCAGGAGGAACACCGAUGGCGAAGGCAGGUCUCUGGGCAGUAACUGACGCUGAGGAGCGAAAGCAUGGGGAGCGAACAGGAUUAGAUACCCUGGUAGUCCAUGCUGUAAACGGUGGGCGUUAGGUGUGGGGACCGGUUUGGUUUCUGUGCCGUAGCUAACGCAUUAAGCGCCCCGCCUGGGGAGUACGGCCGCAAGGCUAAAACUCAAAGGAAUUGACGGGGGCCCGCACAAGCGGCGGAGCAUGCGGAUUAAUUCGAUGCAACGCGAAGAACCUUA
rnacentral:rRNA from 1 species